rnacentral:rRNA from 1 species
CGUUCCCGGGCCUUGUACACACCGCCCGUCAAGCCAUGGAAGCUGGGGGUGCCUGAAGUCGGUGACCACAAUGAGCUGCCUAGGGUAAAACUAGUAACUAGGGCU